AUGGUCAUACCACACAUUGAAAACACCGCUUCUCGUCCGAUAAAUGAAGUUAAGCAAUGUUGGGCCUGGUCAGUACUUGGGAGGGUGACCACCUGGUGUGUAGAAU